rnacentral:lncRNA from 1 species
AAAAAAGCAUUUUUUUUUGAGACGGAGAAUCGCUCUGUUGCCCAGGCUGGAGUGCAAUGGCGCUAUCUCGGUUGACUGCAACCUCCAUCUCCCGGGUUCAAGUGAUUCUCCUGCCUCAGCUUCCUGAGUAGCUCGGAUUACAGGCGCCCGCCACCAUGCCUGGCUAAUUUUUGUAUUUUUAGUAGAGAUGAGGUUUCACCAUGCUGGCCAGGCUGGUCUCCAACUCUUGACCUCAAGUGAUCCGCCCGCC